CCCAGGACCACCUUCUUUUAUUUUUAUUUUUUAUUAGUAAUUUAAUGUUGAUUAAUAAGAUUACAAGAUAGUAGAGGUAUAAUUCCAUACAAUUUCCACCACCGGAGUUCUGUGUUCCAUCUUCUCCACUGGAAACUUCCCUGUUGUUUACCCCUCUUGGAAUAUGGACCAAAAUUAUUUUUGGAAUGCAAAAGGUCAGCUAGAAAUAGCAAAGGAGAUAACCUGGGACUACAACAAGACAGGACUAGAAUGACAUCAGGAAGCUACCAAAUCACCGGGGCAAAGGAAGACAUUUCCCCUAUCCUUUUGGAUUCUUCUUUCAUUCAGUAAUCAAAAUGACAUGAGCCAGAAGACCAUGCCAAGUCAUCCUCAUGCAAGGACCCUGGUGAAAGGAAGUUCCACAUCUGGAACACUGAAGAUAAUUGUGGUGCAGUUAACAGAGGAGAAUUACAUACUGGAGAUUACAACUUUAGCCAGUGGUGCCAGGCAGCCUCAUGGGGAAUCAGGAAUGGCCAUAAAAGUUGUCUUGACCUAGGCCAGGAGGACCAAUCACUAUACUGAGCUGCACCUACCAGUUAUUGAGUGGAGGCUGCCCAGCAAGGGGGGCACAGAACCUGGCUCUUCUGUAACAUGACUAAAAUCCCAAAAGCAUCUGGAAUGACAGUUCGGACUAUGGAGAAAAUAUUGUGUAUAGAAAAACCCAAGAGAAAAGCCUAGAAAUAUUUUUGAAAGUAAUUGUGACCUACCUACAUAUGGAUCUGUUUGUCUUUCCCUGAAGUUCCAAGUUGUUUGAAAGCUAGGACCAUGCUAUUGUUAUGCUUUGGAAUUUCUAGUAAAUACAAUGGUAUUUAGUACAAGGCUUU